AGGGCGCACGGUGGAUGCCUUGGCACUAGAAGCCGAUGAAGGACGUUACUAACNACGAUAUGCUUUGGGGAGCUGUAAGUAAGCUUUGAUCCAGAGAUUUCCGAAUGGGGAAACCCAGCAUGAGUUAUGUCAUGUUAUCGAUAUGUGAAUACAUAGCAUAUCAGAAGGCACACCCGGAGAACUGAAACAUCUUAGUACCCGGAGGAAGAGAAAGAAAAUUCGAUUCCCUUAGUAGCGGCGAGCGAAACGGGAAGAGCCCAAACCAACAAGCUUGCUUGUUGGGGUUGUAGGACACUCUAUACGGAGUUACAAAGGACGACAUUAGACGAAUCAUCUGGAAAGAUGAAUCAAAGAAGGUAAUAAUCCUGUAGUCGAAAAUGUUGUCUCUCUUGAGUGGAUCCUGAGUACGACGGAGCACGUGAAAUUCCGUCGGAAUCUGGGAGGACCAUCUCCUAAGGCUAAAUACUCUCUAGUGACCGAUAGUGAACCAGUACCGUGAGGGAAAGGUGAAAAGCACCCCGGAAGGGGAGUGAAAUAGAACCUGAAACCGUGUGCUUACAAGUAGUCAGAGCCCGUUAAUGGGUGAUGGCGUGCCUUUUGUAGAAUGAACCGGCGAGUUACGAUUUGAUGCAAGGUUAAGCAGUAAAUGUGGAGCCGUAGCGAAAGCGAGUCUGAAUAGGGCGUUUAGUAUUUGGUCGUAGACCCGAAACCAGGUGAUCUACCCUUGGUCAGGUUGAAGUUCAGGUAACACUGAAUGGAGGACCGAACCGACUUACGUUGAAAAGUGAGCGGAUGAACUGAGGGUAGCGGAGAAAUUCCAAUCGAACCUGGAGAUAGCUGGUUCUCUCCGAAAUAGCUUUAGGGCUAGCCUCAAGUGAUGAUUAUUGGAGGUAGAGCACUGUUUGGACGAGGGGCCCCUCUCGGGUUACCGAAUUCAGACAAACUCCGAAUGCCAAUUAAUUUAACUUGGGAGUCAGAACAUGGGUGAUAAGGUCCGUGUUCGAAAGGGAAACAGCCCAGACCACCAGCUAAGGUCCCAAAAUAUAUGUUAAGUGGAAAAGGAUGUGGCGUUGCCCAGACAACUAGGAUGUUGGCUUAGAAGCAGCCAUCAUUUAAAGAGUGCGUAAUAGCUCACUAGUCGAGUGACACUGCGCCGAAAAUGUACCGGGGCUAAACAUAUUACCGAAGCUGUGGAUUGUCCUUUGGACAAUGGUAGGAGAGCGUUCUAAGGGCGUUGAAGCAUGAUCGUAAGGACAUGUGGAGCGCUUAGAAGUGAGAAUGCCGGUGUGAGUAGCGAAAGACGGGUGAGAAUCCCGUCCACCGAUUGACUAAGGUUUCCAGAGGAAGGCUCGUCCGCUCUGGGUUAGUCGGGUCCUAAGCUGAGGCCGACAGGCGUAGGCGAUGGAUAACAGGUUGAUAUUCCUGUACCACCUAUAAUCGUUUUAAUCGAUGGGGGGACGCAGUAGGAUAGGCGAAGCGUGCGAUUGGAUUGCACGUCUAAGCAGUAAGGCUGAGUAUUAGGCAAAUCCGGUACUCGUUAAGGCUGAGCUGUGAUGGGGAGAAGACAUUGUGUCUUCGAGUCGUUGAUUUCACACUGCCGAGAAAAGCCUCUAGAUAGAAAAUAGGUGCCCGUACCGCAAACCGACACAGGUAGUCAAGAUGAGAAUUCUAAGGUGAGCGAGCGAACUCUCGUUAAGGAACUCGGCAAAAUGACCCCGUAACUUCGGGAGAAGGGGUGCUCUUUAGGGUUAACGCCCAGAAGAGCCGCAGUGAAUAGGCCCAAGCGACUGUUUAUCAAAAACACAGGUCUCUGCUAAACCGUAAGGUGAUGUAUAGGGGCUGACGCCUGCCCGGUGCUGGAAGGUUAAGAGGAGUGGUUAGCUUCUGCGAAGCUACGAAUCGAAGCCCCAGUAAACGGCGGCCGUAACUAUAACGGUCCUAAGGUAGCGAAAUUCCUUGUCGGGUAAGUUCCGACCCGCACGAAAGGCGUAACGAUUUGGGCACUGUCUCAACGAGAGACUCGGUGAAAUCAUAGUACCUGUGAAGAUGCAGGUUACCCGCGACAGGACGGAAAGACCCCGUGGAGCUUUACUGUAGCCUGAUAUUGAAAUUCGGCACAGCUUGUACAGGAUAGGUAGGAGCCUUUGAAACGUGAGCGCUAGCUUACGUGGAGGCGCUGGUGGGAUACUACCCUAGCUGUGUUGGCUUUCUAACCCGCACCACUUAUCGUGGUGGGAGACAGUGUCAGGCGGGCAGUUUGACUGGGGCGGUCGCCUCCUAAAAGGUAACGGAGGCGCUCAAAGGUUCCCUCAGAAUGGUUGGAAAUCAUUCAUAGAGUGUAAAGGCAUAAGGGAGCUUGACUGCGAGACCUACAAGUCGAGCAGGGUCGAAAGACGGACUUAGUGAUCCGGUGGUUCCGCAUGGAAGGGCCAUCGCUCAACGGAUAAAAGCUACCCCGGGGAUAACAGGCUUAUCUCCCCCAAGAGUUCACAUCGACGGGGAGGUUUGGCACCUCGAUGUCGGCUCAUCGCAUCCUGGGGCUGUAGUCGGUCCCAAGGGUUGGGCUGUUCGCCCAUUAAAGCGGUACGCGAGCUGGGUUCAGAACGUCGUGAGACAGUUCGGUCCCUAUCCGUCGUGGGCGUAGGAAAUUUGAGAGGAGCUGUCCUUAGUACGAGAGGACCGGGAUGGACAUACCUCUGGUGUACCAGUUGUCGUGCCAACGGCAUAGCUGGGUAGCUAUGUGUGGACGGGAUAAGUGCUGAAAGCAUCUAAGCAUGAAGCCCCCCUCAAGAUGAGAUUUCCCAACUUCGGUUAU
rnacentral:rRNA from 1 species